rnacentral:rRNA from 1 species
AUGGCAAACGACGAUCCUUCACGCGUCCGUAUCGUUCGCAAAAGCAUCGUCAAGCCGUCCGUUGCGCGCCCCGGCGUGGUGCUGGCUGUCUCUAACCUCGACCUGCUGUAUCAGACGAUGCCGAUCGCGAUGAUCUGCGCCUACCGCACGCCCUCGGACGGCCUGGGCUUCCAAGACGUCGUGGCCGCCUUCGAGGCCAAGCUGCCGUACCUGCUCGACCACUUCUUCCUCCUCGCCGGCCGCAUCGUCGCCAACCCGCACUCCGGGCUCCCGGAGGUGCACUGCGACAAUCAAGGCGCGGAGCUCGUCGUCGGCGAGGUCGGCGUGGCGCUGGGGAGCCUGGACUACGGCAGCCUGGAGGCGUCCUUGGCGAGGCUCGGCGUCCCCGUCCAGUACGACGCGGGCGUCGCGCUGUCGGUGCAGCUGGUGUCGUUCGCCUGCGGCGGGUUCGCCGUGGCGUGGGGCACCAACCACGUGCUCCUGGACGGGUGCACGCUGUGCAUGAUCGUCGACGUUUGGUCACAGCUCGCGCGGUCCGGGACCGAGAAGAUCGCCGCCGCCGCCGCCCCGAACCACGACCGCUCCAUAUUCCGCCCUCGCGCCGCGCCGUCGUACGGCGGGCUCGGAGAGGUGUUCAUCCCGCUUGAGAGCGAGCGUCUCGUCAACGCACUCACGGCCGGGAGCUCCCUGGUCGUUCGCACCUACUACGUCGAGCAGCGGGACCUCGACAUGCUGCGCGUGCAGGCGAGCGCCAGCGAGGAGCGCGGCGCGAGCGCGAGCCGCGUCGAGGCGGCGUGCGCGUACCUGUGGAAGGUCCUGGCCGGCGUGGUGGGGUCGUCGGACGACAGGUGCCGCAUGGGCUGGUGGGUGAACGGCCGGCCGUGUCUCGCCAAAAAGGAAGCGGCUAUGCGCAGCUACGUCGGUAACGUCACGUCGUUCGCGGUGGCGGAGGCGAGCGUGGACGCGAUCAAGCGGCGGCCGCUCCCGGAGGUCGCGUCGAUGGUGCGCCAGUCGAUCAGGGCGACGGCGACCUCCGAGCACUUCCAGGAGCUGGUGGACUGGGUGGAGGAGCGCAAGGGCAAGGGUCCAGGCAAGUACGUGGAGACGGCAACCGUCGGGCUGGGCAGCCCGGUGCUGAGCGUGACGUCCAUGGUGUCCUUUGGCCUCGACACUGACUUCGGCUUCGGGCAAGCCGCCAUAGCGAUGCCGACGUGGGUGGACAGCGGGAGGCUCUGCUGCGGCUUCGUGACGAUCAUGGCGAGCCCGGGAACGGGAGGCCACGGCGGUGGCUCCUGGAUCUUCACCAUGUCCAUUUGGCCGAGGCUGGCCGCCGCGCUCGACUCCGAUGCCCACCGCAUCUUCAAGCCUCUGACCGCGGAGUAUCUCGGCCUCGCUCAGUAUAGCCGGCUCUGA